rnacentral:rRNA from 1 species
UACGUAGGGGGCAAGCGUUGUCCGGAAUCAUUGGGCGUAAAGAGCGUGUAGGCGGCCAGAAAAGUCCGCUGUGAAAACUCGAGGCUCAACUUCGAGCUGUCGGUGGAAACUUUCUGGCUAGAGUCCGGAAGAGGAGAAUGGAAUUCCUGGUGUAGCGGUGAAAUGCGCAGAUAUCAGGAAGAACACCCGUGGCGAAGGCGGCUCUCUGGGACGUGACUGACGCUGAGACGCGAAAGCGUGGGGAGCGAACAGG